AUCUUACUGGAGAUCCCUGUGUACUAGAGGCCUUCUGAAACGCAUCUCCAGAGCCUCAAACUGUUAACCAAAGAGUCAGUUCUGGGUCAGCGAGGAUUUGAGUGGUUAAAACUGCACAGUUCAUGGGGAGAGGUAAAUUGCUGGAAUGGGGCCUUGAGAGGAUGGCCAUUCUGGAGAUGUUCAAGUCCAGACCCUUGGCAAACUGCUUUAGCUGAGCAUGCUUUCUCCUGAGAUUUGCAGUAGAGACUCCUGGAGAUCCCUUCCAACUUGCUGUGUUUCUGGGCAUCAUGAUCCAAACAGUUAAUUCAGCUUUUUCACAGCUUUGCCUCUGCAAAUUAAACUGGAAUUGAAAGGACUGGCAUAUCUCAAAAGGCCUUUGGAAUGAAAUAUUCAGGAAUGUUUAUCAGUCAAAAAGCUGAGGAAUUUCAGGUUGAUAGGCAGUCUUCUAGAUGUUUCUAAACUUUGCUGAACAUCAACUCCUAGACUUCUGCAGGCUGUCUAUGUAAUUCUGAAUUUACUUUCUAAAUUGGCACGUAACCUAUUGAAUACGUUUUAAAGAGCAUAGCAGAACUCUGAGCCAGGAUAUACAAAUUGAGGUGGAAUGUGCUUAUAACUGCAUAAGUAAAUGUGUAUGUGUAUGAUGAGUCCCAGAAGAAGUUGUAUACUGAAAACUGCAUUGUCUAACCUUCUUAUGUUUAAUUCAUCCUUUGAUAUGCUUGAUUAAUAUCAUUGCAGCCACUUUUUGUGUAGAUAAGUAUUAUUUUUUUGUAAAAUGCUAAAAAACAUCAGUAAAGGUAUGAUUUCUAAAAGAUUGUACAACUUUGUGUAUAUAUUUUCUAUUAUAGACACAAAAUACUUGGCUUUUCCUCCGAAAUUAAAUAAACAUUUAAUU
rnacentral:lncRNA from 1 species